UACGAAGGGGGCUAGUGUUGCUCGGAAUCACUGGGCGUAAAGGGUGCGUAGGCGGGUCUUUAAGUCAGAGGUGAAAUCCUGGAGCUCAACUCCAGAACUGCCUUUGAUACUGAGGAUCUUGAGUUCGGGAGAGGUGAGUGGAACUGCGAGUGUAGAGGUGAAAUUCGUAGAUAUUCGCAAGAACACCAGUGGCGAAGGCGGCUCACUGGCCCGAUACUGACGCUGAGGCACGAAAGCGUGGGGAGCAAACAGG
rnacentral:rRNA from 1 species